rnacentral:lncRNA from 1 species
CUUUCCACGUUAAAGGCUCCCAUACCGUAGGUGCCCAAGGCAGGCUGAGCCCUGGGAGCGGAAACCCGGGCACCUCCUUCCUUUCCCACCCGCAGAGGCAGGCGCCUGUGCGCCCCUGCACGCCCCCGCACGCCUUCUCUGCGACUGUGCACUCUGAGACUCCUCUCCGCAGUCGGUGAGAAGGGCAAGCAAGCUAAACGUGUUUGUUGGGGGAGCAUUCAGUGUCAAAGCGAGCAAACAGCCUCCUGCGGGGAAGACAGGCGACUUCUGCAACCAACACGCGGAGCUCUACUUAAGCUGACUCCUGCGAAUAAGCGAGAGGGAGUUUCAGUUGGAAAACCACUGAGCUGGGUUUUCCAAAAGAUAGUACUAAUCACCGGUUAUCUGAUACCCUUGAAAUAAUAACAUCAAGAACCAAGAAAUAAAAUGUGGCGACUAGGAAGUGAUGCGUCUUGAGUAUUUAUGACUUCUGUUUUUAAUGUAAUUUAUUUGUAAAGCUAUAUGAUUUAUUUAACUUUCAAUAAUGGCUGUGUUUAACAGCUGAAUUUUUUUUUUUUUUUUUUUUUUUUUUUGAGAUGGAGUCUCGCUCUGUCACCCAGGCUGGAGUGCAGGGGCGCGAUCUCAGCUUACUCCAAGCUCCACCUCCAGGGUUCACUCCAUUCUCCUGCCUCAGCCUCCUGAGUAGCUGGGACUACAGGCACCCGCCACCACACCCAGCUAAUUUUUUGUAUUUUUCGUAGAGAUGGGUUUUCGCCGUGUUAGCCAGGAUGAUCUCGAUCUCCUGACCUCGUGAUCCGCCCGCCUCAGCCUCCCAAAGUGCUGGGAUUAUAGGCGUGAGCCACCAUGCCCAGCCUAACACCUGAAAGUUUAACAAUCAGCCCUGAAGCACUGACACCAGCGUGUUCCAGCCCACCAUGAAUGACCUAGAAUGCAAGCUUCUUAACAUCAGGCGGUUGUGCUUGUUGCCUUUACUAUAAAAUCGCUGCUGCCUGCAGCAGUGGCUAGCGUUGUGUAAUUAUUGAUAAAUAUACACUGAAUGAGUGCAUAAAUGAGCAAACUAAAGAGAAUAAGGACAUAAAUAGGGAGUUCAUUAACAAGAAUGUAUUGACUGCCUACCUCAUUCCAGGUAACAUUUUAGAUGCUGAAAAUAUGUGGCAGUGAACAAUGAGGAAUGGGAGGAAAUUCUUCAUGGGAGGGAGGGGAACUCCUCAUGAAGGAUACAUUCUGGUGGAAGGAGAUAGAGAAAUAUAAAAAGUAAACUAUGUGGUGAAAUUGAAGACAAGUAAAGCCAGAAACAUCUUAGGGUUGAGGUUACAAUUUGAAAGAGUGGUAAGGGAAGUCCUCACUGAAAAGAUGACAUUUGAAGAUUGACAUUGGCCUGAAGGAGGUAACAGUGUGGACUGAGAGAAGGCCAUGGUAGGCCAGGAAACAGCAACAGCACAUGUAAAAGCCGUCAGGCAGAAGAUUAUCUAGCAGGCUCUAAGAACCCCAAGGAGACAAAGAUUUUGAGCAUAA